CGCGGGGUAGAGCAGCCUGGUUAGCUUGCUUGGCUCAUAACCAAGAGGUCGUUGGUUCAAAUCCAACCCCCGCUACCA
rnacentral:tRNA from 1 species